GCAAAUCUUAUCAUUCUAGCUCAAAGUAUUGAGGAAUUGCAACGUGGAUUAACUAAAAAAGAUGAAGAUAUGCGGGCAAUGGAGGAAAGGUACAAAAUGUACCUCGAGAAAGCUCGUAAUGUAAUUAAAGCUCUGGACCCAAAACAGAACCCCGUGACUACAGAAAUCCAGGCACUCAAAACCCAGAUCAUUGAGAGGGACAAAAAAAUACAAAUGCUGCAGCAUGAUUGUGAGCAAGCAAAACUUCGUGAGCAUGAGGAGAAGUUGUUAGUAACAGCGUGGUACAAUAAG